GACCAUUUGAUUUUUGAUGGGGGGUGGGUAGAUUUUCAGUUUGCUCGAUAUUUUUUUUCCGCCUCCUGACACUGUUCGAUUUUUUUUUGUCAGUCAGAGGACUUGCACGAUAUUUUUUUGUAUGCAUGUAUAUACAUAAUUUUUUAGUUUUUUGUUUUUACAUUUUUUGGUAUAUAAUAGGUAAUUGGACAAGUACUGAUGUAAGACAUUGUGUAGCCUAAAUAAUGAGAGGACCAGUAUUCAAAAAAUGGUUGUUCUCCAUUUCUUUACUCCGACUCCUAUGAUGAACAUGUACGUAAAAAAACUAGGGAAACUACGAGGUAAAGUAGGUGAAAUUUUUAUGGGACUCCACAAAAGGUGAGGAUAUAAGAGUGAGAGAUUGAAAUUGAGUAG